GCAGAGGCAGGUGGUAGGUGAGGGCAAGUGCCUGUUUCCAGCUCACCAGGCUGACUUCGCCUCCAGGGCAGGGAGGUGGGGGUAGGGAUGGGGGGGAGACACAGCUCUGCUCCCCCCACCCCACCCCCAGGCUCCUUCCUCCCUCCCCCGCCUCCCUUCCUUCCUUUCUUCAUUCACUGGUGUGCUCGUCCGUCACGCUGCCUCGGGAUCAGGAAGGCAGGUGUGUCUGGUGCGAGCAGAGCCACCAGCAUCACCCCCACCAGUGGCCGACGGGAGACUCAGACGCUCAGCAACAGGCUGCUCGAACAGGCUCAUCGUCUGGGGAGGCAGCUUGGUUGACACCAGAGUUCUCACCUAGUGUGAGUUUGACCUGCAACGUCUGGAGGUAUUUUAGGCUGUCACUCACCCGGACGGACGGCGCCCGCGGGCAGGGCCAGGAUGCUGCUCAGCCCCCUGCGGGGCCAGGACAGUGACAUGGCCCCAAGUGUCCCCGGUGCUGAGGGCGGGGCCCUGCUCUGGACAAGGUCUGCGUUGGAUUUGUCUUGCGUCCACUGUCCAGUGUGUGAAGUGACCAGCCCGUCUGUGACGGGCCUCGGCAGCGCAUCCCCUGCUUUUCUCUCCUCGCAGGCCCCGCACAGUGGCCGCCGUCCACAUCUGCCCCCUCUCGGUCCCUCUCUGCGUCCCUUCUUCCCCUGAAGAUGCUGCUCGAAGCCCCGCUGGGCCCUCCCAUCCUCCCUCCCGGGAAGCACAGCCUCCAAGCUGACCCCAGAGAGCAGGGGUGUCAGCGCCCACGUCACAGGGUACAGCCCGGCUCUCUCGGGGCCCCGAGAGGGCGCCAGGCCUGGGUGACCACGGGACCCAAAUUGUCGCUCUGCCUCCUGGGUCGGUGGGCUCCUCUCACGUCAGAACCUCUGGCGCCGCUACAGGGAGACGGGGCUCGGAGAUGGACGAUGGGAAACAGGGGCACAGGAGGGGAGGAGAGGCCGCAUGGAGGAGGCAGCCCUUAAGGGAAGCCCAGGGGGGUGAGAACAGGGCCCCCUUGGGGCGGGGGAUGGCCCGCGGGGGGGGUGUGCAGGGAUGGUGGGCACAAGCCCUCGGGUGUGGGCCGGGCCCUAACACUGCCGCGCUGCCAGAGGGGGAGGGAAGCGGACCAGGAGGUGGGGAUGAGGCCCAGCCUUGGAGGUUGACCUUAGAGGUUGACCUUGGAGACUGACCUUGGAGGUUGACCUGGGCUGUGUCGCCCUCACAGGGCUUCACCUGCACGUCCCUCCCGGCCCACCUGCUCAUACAGGUGCAAAUCCUCCUGGGCCCCCAGGCAGGGCUGGGCCUAAGGGACUCUCUUGGGCUUUUCUAAAUCUUGCUUUUUUUCGCGUGCCUCCAGGUCAGAGGAUAAAAGUCUAGCUUGCUCCAUCACCAUAGAGCAGGGCCCCAAGGGGUUGAGACUGCAGACACGGGCCCCGGGGACAGCAGGACCCCGUGGAGGUCAGGACCACAGGUAGGACCCCAGCCCCGGGGCCUCUGAAAGCCGCAGCACCGACAGAUCCUUCCAGGCUUCCCGUGGCCGAAUCACAGGCGCACCGUGGUGUCGGAUCCUUUCAGGAGCCAUCAUCUUUGAGCAGAUUCUGGAAGAAGGGCCCCCAGGCUCCUGCCCAGGCUGGGAGAGGCUCAGAGGUCCCCCUCACUGCUCCCUCGACCCCCCAGGGGAAAGCAGACCAUGGACUCAGAGCCGCCCUAACCCCCUGCCCACGGCCACUGCAGUUAAGCCCAGCCCCCUCGGCGGGCAGGCCCUCCCAGUGCUCAGAACCUGCCAUGUCAGAGCUUUCCAGCAGCUGGCAGGUGUCAGGAGAGGGCUGGCCUGCCCUGGCAGUGCCCUCAGGACCCGAGUGCCGGCCCUCCCACACCCGUCAAGCCAGAACACCCAAGGCGUCGGGAGGUUGUGGAGGGGGCGGCCGCCCCUCCAGGAAUGAUCGUCCAGAACCAUCCUGUGCCCAGCCUGCUGCCUGGAUGACCCAGGACCCGGGGCAGGAAGCGCCCUCCUUGGGCAGCGGGCUGAGGAUUUGGGCAAAAUGACUGGACAGGACCUGGGGACACAGGGGGAAGGGGACCGUUGGCCCCGUCAGUGAACGGACGCCCCAUCAACGAACCUGCAGCAGAUUCCUCAAAGGACACGUGCCAACCUCGGGACAAGCUGGCCACCCUCAUCUUGGGGGCGGGGUGGGUGAGGCCCCCCCCCCACCUCAAGCCGCCCCAAGCUCCUGGUGCUGCCCCUUUGAAGGACAACUGACGGCUGACGGAGUCCCUGCUCCUCCGUGGGGGCGGGUGUCCUGGUGCCCAGGGAAGUGAGGCCCGUGGAGGGGACGCAGGUUUGGACACAGGCACCUCCUCAGAAACCUCAGUUGAGUGCGAGGACACGGUCCCCUCGGCCAGGUCACCCUUUAAUUCUCCUCCAGGCCCUGAUCUCCCUGAGCCGCCUUGUUUAUCUGACUUCAGUGCAGCUCACUGAGGCCUGGGACACUUCCUGCCCCUCCCUGGCCCUCAGGGACCUCGACCCCUCCUGGGGGGUGGGGCGGGGGUGGCAAGGGAGCGCCAGAGGGCUGAGUGAGCCGGACCCGCGCCUGCCCGCGGCGGCGCCCCGCGCUGCGGGACAACAGCCGCCGAAACCUCUGGACCGCGGGCCUCCGAGACAACGCCGCGCAGCUCAGCUGAGAAAUCUGUGUUAAAAAUAGAGGCCGUUAGAAGUGUUUGUAACGAACGGAUGGAAACUCCCUUUGUCUAAAGGAGCUGCUGCGACUCAAACCACAGAAGGGAUGUGUCAGGAGCUAAGGACCAUUUCUUGAGCGAACAAGCCAGCUCCGGGGGCUUCCGCGGGCAGAGGCUGGGAGCGGGGCAGCUGGCUGACCCCGGGCCCGCUUUCAGACCCCCUCCCAUGGGAAGCAGUCCCCCAACAGUCAUUCAAAAGGAAAAGGCACUGACCACUCGUGAGCCCCAAGCAGCGGGCUGUUAUCUAGAGAAGGCGCCUUGGCCAGUGUGUGCUGGGGAUUGUUCUGGACGGAACAGCUCUUCAGCAGGUAGGACAUUAGGACAGCACCAGCGAGGAACCAGACUAAAUAGUCAGGGUGUCCUGAGCUAAGAGCGGGAAACAGAGACCCCGGAGCUUACCCGCCCCGGCCGUGGUGCCAGCUGCCAGCUGCCUCUUAGAAACACCCCAACCUCUCCCCCAGCUACCAGCGCUGUCACAGCUGGCUGCAAAACUGCGGAAUAUUUGCCCACUGUUCCCCACCGCCUGGGGUCUAGCGGUGCCCAGAGAGCGCAGCUGCAGGAGGAAGCCGUGUCCGUGCAGGUUCAAGUGUGCGUGGCCUCGGCCUCCCAGGUGAGCCCACCUCGUUUCGGCCGGUGCUGCCCUGGCUGUGGGCUCAGCUCAGUCACUGCCUUGGUCACAAGGCCCCUGGGACUGGUCUUCUCCCAAUGAAAUCAGGAGGCAGGACCUCGUCCUCCUCAGUCCCAGGAGCCAGGCUUCCCUGGGCACCAGCUGCUGUGAUUGAUAUAACUGGCCCGGUUUGGAACUUGGCUGAAAGCUCCCAGGCAGUCCCAAAGGGACCCUGGGUGUGUACCCGAAUUCUCCACCAUGGGGGGACACCAAGGUGGUGUCUUGGGCACAGCGGGAAGAGGCGGGAAUCAGAAUGGGAGAUUCUGCCAUGAGCAGUGUGAUGGGUGGCUGAUGGCGCUCAGCCUCUGCCCCGCAAAACAGCAAUCACGCGUGUCCCAGCUGUGCGAUGGUGUCAUUAGGAAGCUGUGACUUCCGUGCCAUGCAAAUGCUGACUAGUCACGGUGUGGCUUUAGGAAGACACCAGGCUGGGGGGGGCGCCCACAGGCAACAGAGCAUGACAGGCUGAGCCCAGUAGGUGAGCACCUGCGAGGCGGCCUCCGCCCUGAUCGGGCACAGCCUGAGCUCCCGGAGGAGUCUGUCCUUCUCCUCUCCUGGCCUCGCUCGGCCCCCACCGGCUGGGCCCCAAGGGGAGGGAAGAGUGGGCGGGGUCCCUGGACCCGAGGCUCCUCCCAGGGGUUCCUGUCUGAGUGAAGCACCCCACCCCCCCAAAUCUCUUCUUUAGGGAGUAAGACCAGGAAGUUGGCCGGAGAGCCUAAUGGAGUGAGUCCGGCUGGUUGGGAACUGUUUCCGAAAGUAAUUACAGGCGCUUUGGAACUUGAUACAAACCUUGUACAAUUAGUUUGUUGGAGUUCCCGCUGUGGCGCAGAGGAAAAGGAGGCGCAGGUUCAAUCCCUGGCCCCGCUCAGUGGGUUAAGGAUCCGGCAGUUGCUGUGAGCUGUGGUGUACGUCGCAGAUGCAGCUCGGAUCCCGCGUUGCUGUGCCUCUGGUGUCAGCUGGUUGGUAUAGACUGGCAGCUAUACCUUCGAUUAGACCCCUGGCCUGGGAACUUCCAUAUACCAUGGGUGCAGCCCUAAAAAGCAAAAGUAAAUAAAUAAAUAACUAGUUUAUGCCCGUAUCCAGUUGGCCAGCAGUGGUUUCCUGUCUAAAGCUUAACCUCCAUGUCUGCUGCACCCCCGUGUGUGCCUGGCCGACCCAACUGCUGACACCUGCUGACAGCAGCGGGGUGGGGUGGGGGUCCAGGGCCCUGUGGCCUGAGGGAUGGACGCUGGAGCAUCUAGGCUGCAUGUUCCGGCAGUCCGUCCCUCCAGCCAGGCCCAGGGGCAGCCCCAGGCCCACUUCCCCUGAAGCACCGUGGAGGGGGUGGGGGUGGGGAGGGGUCCAGGUGGGAAGAGUGGCCUCCUCCCCCGACCUCCUGGUCAGACCCCUUGCAGCCUCCCUGCAAAGCCCCCGAGCACGGUAAGAGGGAGCUGGACAGCUUAGAGCUGGAACUGGCUGAUAUGGGCAUGGGAUUCUGGAAGCUCUGAGCCACACGCGUGGUGUUGAGGAGUCCAGCUGGCAGACAGGGGGCCCUUCAGCUCUGGCCAGAGGGCCUGCCUCAGCGGCCGGGCCUGGAGGUCCCUCCCCACCAGUCUCCAACCCCAGGGUGGGGCCUGUCACAGCCCAGCCCGAGGACAGCUGGAUGCCGGGGCACACAGGCGGAGGUUAAGCUUCAGAUGGGAAACCACGGCUGGCCGUGACUGGCUAUAUACACAAACUAGUUUUAAAUUGUAUCAAAUUCCAAAAUGCCUGUGACUAUUUUCCAAAAGGAUUGCAGACGAGAAAGACUCGCUCCCCUGGGCUCUCAGGCCCACCUCCUGGUCUCACUCCAUAGAGCAGAGGUGGGGGCCUGACCCUCCCCAGAGAACGCUGCCCCCACACUGGUUGCAGCCGCUGGCUUCCUGGAGGAGGAGGACCAGGUCGUCAUAAAUGCAAAUGUCACAUCCGAGCAGCGUCCUGGCACCUGGCUGGUCAUCACACGACCUCUCUCAUUUGUCCUGGGCAGGGGCUCUGCGCUGAGUGACUCUGAGCCUGCGGGCCGGCGGUCGUCAGGGACGCCUCUGCCCACGAGUUGUGAGUGAUGGUGAAGCCGGGCGCAGACCCACCCCCAGACGCCCCACCAUCCAUCCGAAGCCCAGACCCUGCACCAACCCCCACCCCCGGGGACAGGACCAGGACAGGCCUACGCUCCCUAAGCAGGACGCAGGACGGCAGCAAAUCCACUGCCAGGCCAGGAUGCCAGCCCGCCGCCACCUCAAGAAGGCCCUUCCAGGAACGCCUCGCCAGCGCCAAAGUCACUGAUUCCGAUUCUGUGUCCUGACUCUUUCUGCUGCGAAGAAAAUCCAGAUAACCCCUUCCUCCGCGCAUGGCGGCGUCUCUGCCUGAGUAUGGGGUCUUCCUCUGACCUCAGGGUCCCCCUGAGAGCGGGCCUCUUCCCGUAGCCAGAGGCCUUUCCGAGACCUGGGCCCUCGGAGUCGAUGGCUCCUUCCGCGCCCUUGGCCUUAGCAGGUGACCACUGGUUUUUACCUGGUGCUUCCUUUUAUUAUAGAGGGUGAGGGGUUCCUGGGUUUAUACUAGUUUAUAAACAGUCCCUCCCACGCCAGGGAGAUUUUAAAAUCCUUCGAAGCACAAAGUUCAGGUUUUCCCAUCAUCAGCCCCAACCCUGGCCAGACCCACCGCCUCCCCUCUGUCACUGACCUGUCCCCGCCUGGCCCUGCAGAGGACACACAGACCCACGUGGUGGCACAAACACUCUUCCUUCCCCAGAUGGGUCUGCUCAGAUGUCCAGGACGGGAGGUUCUUUUUCAAAUGUGGAAGUUUUGUUGGAAGAUGAACAGAGAUCCCAAUCAGUUUAAAACACAAAAGGAGGAGUUCCCUUUAUGGCGCAGUGGUUAACGAAUCCGACUAGGAACCAUGAGGUUGCAGGUUCGAUCCCUGCCCUUGCUCAGUGGGUUAGCAAUCCGGCGUUGCCGUGAGCUGUGGUGUAGGUUGCAGACGCGGCUCGGAUCCCGCGUUGCUGUGGCUCUGACGUAGGCCGGCGGCUACAGCUCCAAUUCGACCCCUAGCCUGGGAACCUCCAUAUGCCGCGGGUGUGGCCCUAGAAAAGGCAAAAAGACAAAAUAAAUAAAUAAAUUAAAAAAAAAAAAAAA
rnacentral:lncRNA from 1 species